CGGACAGUACAUUUGUUUGUGUACUGUUGAGGUCUGUUGUGACUUGUUUAACAUCUCUUCCACUUUCACAGGUUAAAGACUUUUUGAAGUAAAGAGGAGCAUCUCAUCUGAACCUGAUGUCUAUCAUGGAUAAUUUAAACUGCAGUUCUGUGAGUAAUCCCAACUUAACCAUGAAGCAUAACUGCAAACUGUAAGUCAUUCAUUUCUCAUUACUCUUGGGCACAUUGAUGUAUUUUGGCUUCCUGGUGAGUGAACCUGUUACCUGAAGGUUGAUCUGAGUAUUGAGGAUGUUUUAUUGGUUCAUGGGUUACUUAGGUGUUUGGUUUAUGUGGUUUUAAAUGAUUUGUUAAAAUGGUUACAGGCUCCAAGUUAUUGUUGUAAGCUGGAGUAAUGGGUUGUGUUCUGAUAUCUUCAGUCUUCUUUCAUUCUACUCUCCUGAGCUCUGCAUCUUCAUCACAUGAGUGUUGGUUUACUGGGAGGGUGUGGUCUGAGUGACAGAGGUGGCAUACUGGGAUACAGAGCUGUUGAAGUCUACAGGUCUGUAGACACGCCCCCUCAGGGGAAACCGAGUCUUUGAGAAACGUCGUGACGUCAUUUACAUGGACUGAAUGUUCUUAAAGAUGGAGACAGGGAUUCAGAAGGAGAAACACCAGGGGGAGAUGAGGGGGGCUCCUCAUCUCAACGACUAACACAACUUCAGUCUGACACAGAGAAACCAUGGAACACAUUCAACAGCCCCUCCAGGCAUCGUGACGCCUCAGGAACAGUUUCAUUUCCAAGAAGGUCUUAUUUGGGGCCAUCCCCAUAUGGAUCCUGCUCCUCAAGAGCCACCCCCCUCCAUUGGGGUGGUCUUCUGAACAGAUUACCUCCUUCCUGUCCUCAGGCUGACUAAAGCUGCACCGUUUGCAUCUGUGAAGGCCCCUCAUUCAGGAAACCACGCAUAAUCCAUCACCAAUGUGGGACGCCACUGAAGAAUGUUGUACAUCAUUUACGUCUCUGGAGACAUUGGUUGUUCUGUUAUGGGUGCCCUUGCAGGAGAGCUGGGGGGGGAUGAUGGGAAUGUUAUUUGGCAUGAGGUUUUUACCCUGCAUGAUUGUUUGGCCUUUUAUGGCUCAGUGGUGUGUGUUUGGGUUUGACAUGAGAUGGAAGAUUUUUGAGCAUCGAUAGGGUUCUACUGUGUGUGUGUGUGUGUGUGUGUGUGUGUCUCCCACUCACACCUGGCAUGGGGUUCUACGUGCCUGUCCUGGGUUCUAUGUGUGUCCGGCUUGCUUUGACGGUGAUAAUGUUCAUAUGGGGGUCUGUGUGAUUGGAAUGGUCAACUAAAUCAUACCUGAUGGACGGCCACACGUUUACUUAAGGGCCUCCAGUAGACAUGAUAGCCCUGAGCGACGCUCCGGAGCGAUAUCCAACACACUGGGCAGGAAGGAGAGUAUCCAACUCAAGUGUUAAAGGAUGCAAGCGGCGUGUUCAGAUCCGUGACUUCAAACUAGGACUUCACCAAUCAGGAUCAAUGGAGGAUGGACACCAAAAGGAAUUCCACAAGGAGAGUCUGACGUUGGAAAGGGACCUAAAUGGAUAUUCAAGAUGACCUGUAAUGAGACGGCUCUUCCUACCUGGCUGGAUUGAUGGAGAGCCCUGUGGAUCUUGUCUCGCUCUCAGUUGGACGUCUACUCAGGCUGAACUGUAUUUGUUUCGGACAGGACUAGCUGAACGAUUGGUUCCCUUAAAUCAGAACCAAUCCGGGAACUCCAGCUAUUGCGCUCUUCGAGCUGAAGUUGUGCUCUUCAGCUGAGGAGGUAAGGAAACCUUCACUGGGGCUUCAAGGUGUAAAGAGGAGAAUGUUUCAAAGUGUUCCAUGGUACUCUGAUGAAGACCAUUGUUGUGUUCCAUUGGCUGAGAGGAAGAACCCACACAUCUUCCUCUUGGCCUUUCUCCGCCGAGAAUCCUGGCGCCAUCUUGAAGGAUAUUCCAGCUCAUGUAACUGAUGUCAAGACGGAUUCUCAAACACUUGGUUUCUCCUGAGGGGCGUGUCUAUGGAACUGAAGACUUCAGACAGCACUGUAUCCCAGCAUGCAUCUCUGCUCACUCAGACCACACCCCCAUGGGUAGAAUGCAACACUCUAGUGAUGGACAUGUAGAGUUUUAUAAGUAACGAGGGAGCAGACUAAGGUGAUUAUAACACAAUGGAAUGUCAAGUCUGUAAAUCUUUAAACCAUGAAGAUGGUUAGAUAGUUCAGGAAUUGGGCUUAUUUUUUAUCAUGGGCAGUCCUUUCACUCGGAUGCUCACUGGAGCUGUGCAUGAUUUGCUGUUGGUGAUGAGGCGGUCAGGGUGACGUUGAAGGGCUAUGGUUGGCUCUCUGUGAGCUCAACGUUUAGAUUUGCUCUGUAUGGUUUGUACCCUGAAUAAUCUAGAUAAUUGUAAAAUGUAGACACGGUUUUGUAUUGAAUGAUUUUAGGUUUAAAGUUGUUGUGGGACGUACAUGGUAGUUUGGUUCUUCGUAUGGUUUUGAAUGAUAUAACUUGUACACACUGGGUGCAUAAUAAUGUAAAGGUACACUGAAUAGUAGUAAUGUCCAACAGCAACAAACAGAUCUCCUCAAGGUAAGUCUGUUGGCUGUGUUUUAAUGAAGACCAUCGCUGGACUUCAGGAUCUUCCUUCCGUUCAGCUCAAGGUGAGGCGCUGUUUCGGUUUUUCUUUGGUUGGUUCCGGUUGGAAUGUUCGGAUUCCAGUCGGACGGUUUGUGCUUCCCGCCGUGGAAGGUUCUGAGUGCGGUCACUUGAUUUAGUCCCAAUGGUUAGCAUAGAAUGUUGUAGUCUUGACAACCAUAAGAAACCACCUGGCAGUUAGUUUGACGGGAGUCCCCUGAGGGACUCUGGCGGAACGUUCUGGAUUGUAUUUGAGUAACCUCGAGGCGUUGCCAACGGAAACAUUUUUCAGUCGGUUUCCAUUGGGAAUUGUUGCCACUAUCUUAAACAACUAAAGUUUGAUAUUAAAUACAUACUGAGACGUACGUCGUACAAUAUGUUGAUAAUUUCCGAUGGUUGCGCCGUACUUUUAACCACGAUGACGUUGCGGGACUCUCACUGCGUACAAAACAGCGUUCUACUUGCGGGCCCAUUUUUGACAUCUGGGAAGGCUGAAAAUCAUUUCAAGAUGGAAGAUAAUUUGACAUUUCUUCAACGGAACCCAGCACCUGAAUAUGGCUGAGUAUAUUUGAUUUAAUAUCGAUACUGAUUAGUGUUCUUUUUUAUUUCAGCUUUUGUACGUUCUAAAUAUCUGCUGUCAUUAAUUGCCACAGAAGUUAAACCCUACCCAAUGGAAUGACGUUAAACAACUACUUUGGUGCAGAGUUACCAACUGGAUAAUAUCAAAGCUAAAAUAAUGGUCGUCAUUCCCACAUGUCACAGUAGAAGAUACUCUAGAAAGACUUCUUGCCCCAACUCUGAGUACCUUUAAAACAAGACUGAAGACUUUUAUGUUUGCUUUAGCUUUCUGCUAAAUCUUAAAUACAUUGCACUUUCUAAAAAGCUUUUUUAACUUUGCCUUUAUUUUCUAUUUUAAUACUAAAAUGCCUUUUUAACUUUCUAUUUUACCCAUUUCUUUGCAUAUGUUUUCUUUUACUUAUCUUUUAUUUUAUUGUAUGACAAUGUUUAUGUGAAGCACUUUGAGUCUGCCUUGUAUGAAAAGUGCUAUAUAAAUAAAGUUGCCUUGCCUUGACUUGCCUAGAACUGUACAAGGUUAAAAAGGUAACAUGUAGUUUCCCAAGGUGUCUGCCUCAUCACCCAGAGCAAGACCUCCACCUCCUCACCCAGAGCCAGACCUCCACCUCCUGUCAGAAGUCCUCCAGAACAGCUGAAAGGCGAGGCUGAGAGGCUGGGGACCGGAGGCUUGUGGUGCCAGGGUGGACCAGAGACUGAGGCUGGAGACCAGGGGCCUGCAGCACCGGACCAGAGGACCAGGAAUCCAUGGCUGAAGGAGCUGAUGGAGGCGCCGUGCUGACGGGAGGAGCCGUGCCGAAGGAGCUGGGCUGGUGGAGGAGCUGGUGGAGGGCCUGCCUGGGGAAUGACGUCUGUCGUGGGACCAGGACUCUGUCUGAGGAGAGCUGCUGGAGGAGGUGAGAUGCUGGACGACGACUAGGAAUUGACCAACAAGGAUUCCUCAACGUGUUUCUGGAGCGGAGGCGAGCUGGUAGGGGAGCCGUGAAUCUGGAGGAUGACCAUCACUCUACCGACAGGGAUUACUUUAUGGCCAGACUCGCGCUGUUUGUUCCAGACCAGGACUCUGGCUGAUGGAGGAGCCAAAACUCUGGAGGACAACGUCACUCCACCAACCAGGAUCCUCGAGUCUUGAGGACUGAUGGAGAAGCCGUACAUCUGGAAGGUAAAUCCUGAGGACCACCAGGACUCUACCAUCAAGGAUUCCUCAUAAAUGUGCAUGAUUUGGACAUAGUGGACUAGACACACCUGAGCUGAACCUCACCUGAUCCUGUUUGGUCCGGGGUAGACACACCUGAGCUAAACCCGCCCUGAUCCUGACAUUCUGCUGGUCCCGUCUCCUCAGUUCAUCUGAGCUUCGUCCUCCAGAAGACCUGCUGAGCUCAGCAGUCUGAGGCUGAUGGAUCAAUGACCUCCAGUGGGAGUGAUCUUCUUGACCCCACAUGUAACCGUGUGCUUCCACACGCCUUUUCCUCACGUCUGUCACUAACCUCACUACUUCACUACUCUCUACUGCUUCCUCUUUUCUUCCUUCUCUGUGGUUCAAACCUUUACACGGAAGGCGCGUCUUCCUGCCCUCAGAGGGUUUAGCGUUAGGGUUGAGAGUCAGGGUUUAGAGUCAGGGACAGAGCUGGUCAGGGAGGACUGCUUUUACACAAACCUCUUCACUUGCUUUCGGAAUGGUGGUGACAUUUUGAAAAGAUUCAUUUGGGAAAAUGUUUUCCUCUGCUUUCCUUUACAAAUUGUAUUACACUUCUGUCAAGUGUUUUUGUUUAUAUAUUAAAAUCCCACAUCGACCUCUACAUGUUUGUUGCGGUUCAUUUAAUUGUCCUUUAACUUGGUUAAUGUCAAGCUAAACUCCUGCAAUACAUUUAAUAUACAUGAUUGUUAUUCUGCAAUGUUCACAUAAUCCAUUUUGUAAAAAUAUGAAACCUCCGAUAUUACUACUAAAUUCAAGCCUAUUCAUGUAUUUAACAAUGUACAUACUGCCCCGCAGGCCAUUCUCUGCUACUACAACACGUUCAAUCCACCAACCCGUCUCGCAUCAAUGUACUAUAGCUACGUUGGUUCAAACGGAAAAUGUAGUUUGGUAUGAGACUGUUGUCCAGCAGAGGGAGCUGUCAUACACCUUAAUAAUACAGAAAUGUCUAUUUACAUUUUAAAAUGUUCAUGGGCUGGUCUAGUUUGUCUGCAAAUAACUCUGCCUCCAGCAACAGGAUUGGUCGAAACAUGAAGUGAAGGAAAUAAAAGCCCAGUUC